AAAAAAGUAGGGAUCUGGUGCAAUUUCUGAACAUGCCUCUUGUAAACUUUAGGGAUAAGGAUAUGCAAUGUUAUUUGGUGAACUUGUUGAGUUGUCCUGAUGAUUGAUAGUUCAGUAAAGUGCGUGAGUA
rnacentral:snoRNA from 1 species